rnacentral:rRNA from 1 species
UGAAGAGCUUGCUCUUCAAAUCGAGUGGCGAACGGGUGAGUAACGCGUGAGGAACCUGCCUCAAAGAGGGGGACAACAGUUGGAAACGACUGCUAAUACCGCAUGACACAUUGGGGUCGCAUGGCCCUGAUGUCAAAGAUUUAUCGCUGAAAGAUGGCCUCGCGUCUGAUUAGCUGGUUGGUGAGGUAACGGCCCACCAAGGCGACGAUCGGUAGCCGGACUGAGAGGUUGAACGGCCACAUUGGGACUGAGACACGGCCCAGACUCC